GUUAAGAAAUUAGAAGUGAAGGAAGGCUUCUGACACGACACAGGAGGUUUGCGUACUGCAGGCUGCUGGUGUACCAAAAGAAUUUUUACUCGUGCACUGUACGUGCGGGGAGUUUGCGACAGUCAAGGCUUUAGUGAAAUAAAAUGAGAUGCUGCUAUGAAUCGCCUUUGUCCCAUGAUCCUGUGCUCACCAGUCCUACAAUUACCCUUUUCUUCCUAGACUUUAAAGUUGGGAUCAGACACAAGGAUACUUUGAUUUCUUUACCCUACACCAGCCACAGUAUCUGAUUUAAUAUAGGAGCUUAAUAUAACUUUAAUGAGGAGAUAAAUGGAUGAAGAAAGACAGGAGUGAAGAAAUGGAGUCACUGCAAAAAUAAAACAACAAAAGGAGCUUACCAGUGUGCAAGCCUCCGGAGCAGGGACAGGCGUUAGUAUAUUUUAUAUUUUUUAAUUGUGGUAGCAUACAAACCACAAGGUUGACUGUCUGUGCCAUCUUCAGGCGCACACUCAGGCUUCUCCAUCCUCAGUGCACACUCAGGUCUCCUCCAUCCUCAGGCGCACACUCAGGCCUCCUGCAUCCUCAGGGCACACCCAGGCUUCUCCAACCCCAGGUGCACACUCAGGUCGCCUCCAUCCUCAGUGCAUACUCAGGGCUCCUCCAUCCUCAGUCCACACUCAGGGCUCCUCCAUCCUCAGGCGCGCACUCUGGUCUCCUCCCUCCUCAGUGCACAUUCCGGCUUCUCCAUCCUCAGGUGCCCACUCAGGUCUCCUCCAGCCUCAGUGCACACUCAGGACUCCUCCAUCCUCAGUCCACACUCAGGGCUCCUCCAUCCUCAGGAACACACUCUGGUCUCCUCCCUCCUCAGGCGCACACUCAGGCCUCCUGCAUCCUCAGGGCACACCCAGGUCCCCUCCAUCCUCAGGCGCACACUCAGGGUUCCCCCAUCCUCAGUGCACCCUCAGGUCUCCCCCAUCCUCAGGGCACACCCAGGCUUCUCCAACCCCAGGUGCACACUCAGGUCUCAUCCAUCCUCAGUGCACUCUCAGGCUUCUCCAUCCUCAUGUGCACACUCAGGUCGCCUCCAUCCUCAGUGCACACUCUGGUCUCCUCCCUCCUCAGUGCACACUCUUGUCUCCUCCAUCCUCCGGUGCACACUCAGGUCUUCUCCAUCCUCAGGCACACACUCAGGUCUCCUCCAUCCUCAGUGCACACUCAGGUCUCCUCCAUCCUCAGUGCACACUCAGGCUUCUCCAUCCUCAGGCACAUACUCAGGCUUCUCCAUCCUCAGGUGCACACUCAGGUCUCCUCUAUCCUCAGGCACACACUCAGGUCUCCUGCAUCCUCAGUGCACACUCAGGUCUUCUCCAUCCUCGGUGCAUGCUCAGGUGUCCUCCAUCCUCAGGUGCACACUCAGGUCUUCUCCAUUUUAAGUGCACACACUCAGAUAUUUGUGUCUGUGUUUCCCUGAUGAUCAGUGGUGGUGAACAUCUCUGCAUGCGCUUAUCAGCCACGGGUGAUACCUUAUAUUUUGACGAGGGGUUGAUGGUAGUUAGCCUCAUAGAUGGGCGUUUGAACUUUGUGGUCAAGCAACUCCGCUGCUGUGUUUCUGCCCUGAGUGGCUUGUUACUGUCUCCUCGUUACAUAUUGACCAGCUGUCAGUCUGGUGCCUGGAGCUUUGCACCUGUGAGCUCAUCCGAUUCUCA
rnacentral:lncRNA from 1 species